UACGGGGGGAGCAAGCGUUGUUCGGAUUUACUGGGCGUAAAGGGCGCGUAGGCGGUCAGCACAAGUCAGUUGUGAAAUCUCCGGGCUUAACCCGGAACGGUCAACUGAUACUGUGCGACUAGAGUGCGGAAGGGGCAACUGGAAUUCUCGGUGUAGCGGUGAAAUGCGUAGAUAUCGAGAGGAACACCUGCGGCGAAGGCGGGUUGCUGGGCAGUUGCUGACACUGAGGCGCGACAGCGUGGGGAGCAAACAGG
rnacentral:rRNA from 1 species